rnacentral:pre_miRNA from 1 species
UAACUACUCCCUCCGUUCGGAAUUACUUGUCGCAGAAAUGGAUGUAUCUAGAUGUAUUUUAGUUCUAGAUACAUCCAUUUCCGAGACAAGUAACUCCGAACGGAGGGAGUAGUCA